ACUCAAAUGAAUUGACGGGAUUUAGCACAAACGGUGGAUUAUGUGGUUUAAUUCGAUGCAACGCGAAGAACCUUACCAGGGUUUGACAUGUCUAGGAUUUUUCAGAAAUGGAAAAGUGCCAAAUUCUACUUUUAUGGAAUCUGGAGCUAGAGCACAGGUGGUGCAUGGCUGUCGUCAGCUCGUGCGUUGACGUGUAUGGUUAAGUCCUGCAACGAGCGCAACCCUCGUCCUUAGUUACAUAAUAUGCUCUCUAAGGAGACUGCGCGCGCAAGCGCUGAGGAAGGUGAGGAUGAUGUCAAGUCAGCAUGCCCCUUACACCCUGGGCGACACACGUAAUACAAUGGUUGAGACAAUCAGAAGCUAACCCGCGAGGGCAUGCAAAUCUGCUAAACUCAGCCUCAGUUCGGAUUGUAGGCUGCAACUCGCCUACAUGAAGCCGGAAUCGUUAGUAAUCGCCAAUCAGCCAUAUGGCGGUGAAUACGUUCUCUAAAUUUGUACACACCGCCCGU
rnacentral:rRNA from 1 species